CAGCAGCCACGGGAAAACGUAGGGUGCGAGCGUUAAUCGGAAUUACUGGGCGUAAAGCGUGCGCAGGCGGUUCGUUAAGACAGAUGUGAAAUCCCCGGGCUUAACCUGGGAACUGCAUUUGUGACUGACGGGCUAGAGUAUGGCAGAGGGGGGUAGAAUUCCACGUGUAGCAGUAAAAUGCGUAGAGAUGUGGAGGAAUACCGAUGGCGAAGGCAGCCCCCUGGGCCAAUACUGACGCUCAUGCACGAAAGCGUGGGGAGCAAACAGGAUUAGAUACCCCCGUAGUCCCUGUCUCUUAUAC
rnacentral:rRNA from 1 species